rnacentral:rRNA from 1 species
CACGUAGGGUGCGAGCGUUUGUCCGGAAUUAUUGGGCGUAAAGAGCUCGUAGGCGGUGUGUCGCGUCGGCCGCGAAAACCUGCAGCUUAACUGUGGGCUUGCGGUCGAUACGGACAUCACUGGAGUUCGGCAGGGGAGACUGGAAUUCCUGGUGUAGCGGUGAAAUGCGCAGAUAUCAGGAGGGAACACCGGUGGCGAAGGCGGGUCUC